rnacentral:rRNA from 2 species
UCUGAAAGGAAGAUUAAUACAAGAUGGCAUCAUGAGUCCGCAUGUUCACAUGAUUAAAGGUAUUCCGGUAGACGAUGGGGAUGCGUUCCAUUAGAUAGUAGGCGGGGUAACGGCCCACCUAGUCUUCGAUGGAUAGGGGUUCUGAGAGGAAGGUCCCCCACAUUGGAACUGAGACACGGUCCAAACUCCUACGGGAGGCAGCAGUGAGGAAUAUUGGUCAAUGGGCGAGAGCCUGAACCAGCCAAGUAGCGUGAAGGAUGACUGCCCUAUGGGUUGUAAACUUCUUUUAUAAAGGAAUAAAGUCGGGUAUGUAUACCCGUUUGCAUGUACUUUAUGAAUAAGGAUCGGCUAACUCCGUGCCAGCAGCCGCGGUAAUACGGAGGAUCCGAGCGUUAUCCGGAUUUAUUGGGUUUAAAGGGAGCGUAGAUGGAUGUUUAAGUCAGUUGUGAAAGUUUGCGGCUCAACCGUAAAAUUGCAGUUGAUACUGGAUAUCUUGAGUGCAGUUGAGGCAGGCGGAAUUCGUGGUGUAGCGGUGAAAUGCUUAGAUAUCACGAAGAACUCCGAUUGCGAAGGCAGCCUGCUAAGCUGCAACUGACAUUGAGGCUCGAAAGUGUGGGUAUCAAACAGGAUUAGAUACCCUGGUAGUCCACACGGUAAACGAUGAAUACUCGCUGUUUGCGAUAUACUGCAAGCGGCCAAGCGAAAGCGUUAAGUAUUCCACCUGGGGAGUACGCCGGCAACGGUGAAACUCAAAGGAAUUGACGGGGGCCCGCACAAGCGGAGGAACAUGUGGUUUAAUUCGAUGAUACGCGAGGAACCUUACCCGGGCUUAAAUUGCAGAUGAAUUACGGUGAAAGCCGUAAGCCGCAAGGCAUCUGUGAAGGUGCUGCAUGGUUGUCGUCAGCUCGUGCCGUGAGGUGUCGGCUUAAGUGCCAUAACGAGCGCAACCCUUGUUGUCAGUUACUAACAGGUUCCGCUGAGGACUCUGACAAGACUGCCAUCGUAAGAUGUGAGGAAGGUGGGGAUGACGUCAAAUCAGCACGGCCCUUACGUCCGGGGCUACACACGUGUUACAAUGGGGGGUACAGAGGGCCGCUACCACGCGAGUGGAUGCCAAUCCCCAAAACCUCUCUCAGUUCGGACUGGAGUCUGCAACCCGACUCCACGAAGCUGGAUUCGCUAGUAAUCGCGCAUCAGCCACGGCGCGGUGAAUACGUUCCCGGGCCUUGUACACACCGCCCGUCAAGCCAUGGGAGCCGGGGGUACCUGAAGUGCGUAACCGCGAGGAGCGCCCUAGGGUAAAACUGGUGACUGGGGCUAAGUCGUAACAAGGUAGCCGUACCGGAAGGUGCGGCUGGAACACCUCCUUCUGAA